UUCGGGCCUUGCGCUAUCAGAUGAGCCUAGGUCGGAUUAGCUAGUUGGUGGGGUAAUGGCUCACCAAGGCGACGAUCCGUAACUGGUCUGAGAGGAUGAUCAGUCACACUGGAACUGAGACACGGUCCAGACUCCUACGGGAGGCAGCAGUGGGGAAUAUUGGACAAUGGGCGAAAGCCUGAUCCAGCCAUGCCGCGUGUGUGAAGAAGGUCUUCGGAUUGUAAAGCACUUUAAGUUGGGAGGAAGGGUUGUAGAUUAAUACUCUGCAAUUUUGACGUUACCGACAGAAUAAGCACCGGCUAACUCUGUGCCAGCAGCCGCGGUAAUACAGAGGGUGCAAGCGUUAAUCGGAAUUACUGGGCGUAAAGCGCGCGUAGGUGGUUAGUUAAGUUGGAUGUGAAAUCCCCGGGCUCAACCUGGGAACUGCAUUCAAAACUGACUGA
rnacentral:rRNA from 1 species